CGAUGUCGACUUGGAGGUUGUGCCCUUGAGGCGUGGCUUCCGGAGCUAACGCGUUAAGUCGACCGCCUGGGGAGUACGGCCGCAAGGUUAAAACUCAAAUGAAUUGACGGGGGCCCGCACAAGCGGUGGAGCAUGUGGUUUAAUUCGAUGCAACGCGAAGAACCUUACCUACUCUUGACAUCCAGAGAACUUACCAGAGAUGCAUUGGUGCCUUCGGGAACUCUGAGACAGGUGCUGCAUGGCUGUCGUCAGCUCGUGUUGUGAAAUGUUGGGUUAAGUCCCGCAACGAGCGCAACCCUUAUCCUUUGUUGCCAGCGGUCCGGCCGGGAACUCAAAGGAGACUGCCAGUGAUAAACUGGAGGAAGGUGGGGAUGACGUCAAGUCAUCAUGGCCCUUACGAGUAGGGCUACACACGUGCUACAAUGGCGCAUACAAAGAGAAGCGACCUCGCGAGAGCAAGCGGACCUCAUAAAGUGCGUCGUAGUCCGGAUUGGAGUCUGCAACUCGACUCCAUGAAGUCGGAAUCGCUAGUAAUCGUAGAUCAGAAUGCUACGGUGAAUACGUUCCCGGGCCUUGUACACACCGCCCGUCACACCAUGGGAGUGGGUUGCAAAAGAAGUAGGUAGCUUAACCUUCGGGAGGGCGCUUACCACUUUGUGAUUCAUGACUGGGGUGAAGCU
rnacentral:rRNA from 1 species